UGCUUUCCAAAUAAGGUGUCCCCCGUCCUUCUAAAUUACUGAGUAUAAAAGCUAUAAUGUUAUAUGUUCCCAAGGGGCAGAGAGUAAUUCAGACAUGAAGUAAUUUUAAUAGAAAUCAUUCCUCUUUUCUUGGCAAGAGAAGAAUUUCAGUAGGAAUUUUUCAAAAUUACAAAAUAUCCUCCCUUGGGAGAUUUAUGCCGCCACUUAGCAGAUUUCUCAUUUCAUUUAACACAAAUAUUUUGAACCUCAAGGGGAAAUCUGCUCAGUUACAGUUUCUGCAUUACUGUCUCCCAGAGAUAAACGAGGUGCUUUUCUCCAAAAUGGACACAGGAGAGGUAAGAAUGUUUUCAGAAAGAGGGGUACUAUUUUCUUCCCCUGGGAAAUUUUAUCUACACGAAGGAUAAAAAAGUAGAGAAGGUGCUCCUGGAAGCAACUGAGCUUCUCCUCCAUCCUAUUCAGGUAAGUGAAGUGGCUUCCCCGAUGGGUGGGAGGGGAGGAUCUGUGAGGCUCAC
rnacentral:lncRNA from 1 species